UGUUUUUUGCCAGUUUCCAAGGCCUGGGGAACCCUGGGGAGGGCAGGGCAGGUGGCCAGGUGACUGGCAAACCAAAUGCAAGUGGUCCUCACUUAAUGACCAAGUCCUCGCUUAGUGGCCAGUUGCUUAGCAAGUGUUUUUUGCCAGUUUUCAAGGCCAGGGGAGCCCUGGAGAGGACAGUGCAGGUAGCCAUGUGAAUGCAAACCAUAUUUAAGUGG